CCUGUUAAGAAAAAAAAACAAAAAAUAAAACAAACGUGAUGUGCCUGGCACUUCACUCAGUCUGAGCCUUCUUUCAGUCAUCCCAGAGCCUGCCUGUCACUUCCUCAGCCUGUCAGCUGGCCUACCAGUGCUGGCCACCAGAGGGCGCUUGGAAAUAUGAGACACCCGAAGAACUGGGUUACCAUUCUAGGUUUCAAAAUUGCCAAAAUAAACUUUGGGGAGGAAAAUCCCUAUUUGGAAGGGAAAAAAGUCCCCAGUACUUUAACAAGACUCCAAGAUGAGUCGUGUGCAGCACACUGAAGUUGGAGAAGUGCUGCAAAGCAAUGAUUGAACUUUGAUCAACGGAAAAAUUACUACAAACAUUUCAGGUACAAGUGAGGAAAUGGAAUAGGAAGUGGAUAUUAAAUAAUAAGGAAUCACUGCUUUCUUAGGUGUUAGUAUUACAGUUAUGUAGAAAAGGAGAGAAAGUCCUUAUUCUGAAGAGAAGUGUCAUGACCAAAUGGCCUAGCAAAAAAAGGGAAGGAAAAAGAAAUAAAAAAUUGUGGCAAAAGGUAAACAUGUAUUUAUUGUACUUUUCUUUCAACUAUUCUGUAUGCUUGCUUGAACGGUAUAAAAAAUAAGCUGAGGAAUGAAAACUAAAUGUUUAAAUACUAUCAAAACAAUCCUACUUUAUCAAGAAUACUUACCAGGCCUCAGAGUCUGAGUAUAGCCUACUCCAAUUAAGCUAGAGUUGUUGACUUUUGCCUAAAAUAAAAUUCAAAAACAACUAUAAGAAAAAUAUUUCAAUAGAGACAAAGCCCCUACAUGUUUCCCCAUCAUGUAGUCAUGAAGUAUUCAGUUUUAUUCAUGUGAGACAAUAAAAUGCAACAUUAUGUAUCAAGUCAAACAGAAACCAGGUACCACUACUUAUCCAUUCAGCUCAAAAAUCAAAUUGUCAGUAGGACACAACAGUACUCUUCAUAGACCUUGGAAUGUAUCCAAAGACCCCAAACUGUCUGUAUAGCACAAGACCCUAAGCAGUCUCAUAAAAAUCCUUGUUGAUUCUAGUCUAGCAUAACAAAACCAGACCAAAAUGUGGUACCAAUCAGGCUCACUAGAGGUGACAUACACCAGCCCUAAAGUGCAGGCUGUACAGUUUAAAUUCAUGACUUAGUUACAAACAUUACUACUUUCAGGGCUCUUCCUAAAGAAUCAAAACCAUCAAUGUUU